UUAUAACAUAACCGAAUAAUAGGAAUAAGAUUCCGAGUCGAAAAUGGCAACGGAAAUAUCAGCGAUGCGAUACGAAGACGUGCGAAAGCAGAUUGGACACUAUGCCAAGAUGGAUUACCAUCCAGAGAUAAGGCCUGCUGGAACUGUGAUUUUGGAAGAUGGAUUGGAAACGUGUUUUAAAGAUUACAAACUCCAAGACAGUAUUGAUGCAUUGAAAUCUAAAUUGCAUAUUACUGAUAAAAGAGAAGACGAUGGCUUCAAUCAUCAAUUACCGAUUGGUACUGCCGACCUCGGCACUCACACUGGAAUGGUACAGCAGCAGAAUUGGUAAAUCCUCGAAAAACUGUGACUGAAGUUAUUUUAGCUUCUCGCAUUGGCCAUCGACUUUACAGGAAAAGUCACAAUAAUUAUGAUGUUUCUGAACAAAUCAAUCGAAAAUAUGUUGAGCCAUUCAAUAAAAAUUACAAGUAUGGCAAGAAAAAUAGAAUCGAUAAAGAGGGUAGUCAAGUUAAGCAGUCGAUGAGGUGGUUCAAGCAAGAUGUUGCAUCAAUCGUUAGUAACCUCCAAGCAGACUUUAUCAACAGGACUCAUGCUCCUCUUGGUCGUUCAGUGUGCCAUACACCUGAGGCGUAUUAAAACUUUUGCAUUUUGGGAUUUUGGAGACAAAUCAGAAGUUGAAACGUGAUCAUUUCCGGAGGGGUUAACCUUUAUUGAAUUCAACUGAAUUCAUUCAAAGUUUAUUAACCCCAUGAAAUCGACUAAAUAACAGGAGUGUCAAGUCUCGGAUGAUGAUGACGACGACGAUGAACUCGACGAGGAUUCGGAACUAGAUGAAGAUGAACUGCUGGAACUAGACGACUCUUUUUUGUCUUCAACAAAUUCUGGCACUACAGCUGGCUUCGGACGCGAUUUCAAGUGUUCUCGUAAUUCAUCCCUGAAAUUACAGCAUUCAUAUAGAAAAAUAUUGUUGGAAUUUCAAUUAGUAAAAAUGAAUAUAACUUACGUAAGACCACCCAGACCAAUGGAAGUGAAAAAAUUGAUAGCAAAUCUUGUAUUCUUUGGAUCAUCUCGUGGAAAUAAACCCUCGAAGGCUCCUUGCAAAGUCCUUUGAAUCAAAAAAACAGUUUCAAAUAGAAGAAGUACAACACAUCAAUAUCUAAUAAAGACAUUACUUACACAUCUUU
rnacentral:misc_RNA from 1 species